AAGUCGUAACAAGGUCUCCGUUGGUGAACCAGCGGAGGGAUCAUUACCGAGUUUACAACUCCCAAACCCCUGUGAACAUACCUUAAUGUUGCCUCGGCGGAUCAGCCCGCGCCCCGUAAAACGGGACGGCCCGCCAGAGGACCCAAACUCUAAUGUUUCUUAUUGUAACUUCUGAGUAAAACAAACAAAUAAAUCAAAACUUUCAACAACGGAUCUCUUGGUUCUGGCAUCGAUGAAGAACGCAGCAAAAUGCGAUAAGUAAUGUGAAUUGCAGAAUUCAGUGAAUCAUCGAAUCUUUGAACGCACAUUGCGCCCGCUGGUAUUCCGGCGGGCAUGCCUGUUCGAGCGUCAUUUCAACCCUCAAGCCCCCGGGUUUGGUGUUGGGGAUCGGCUCUGCCUUCUGGCGGUGCCGCCCCCGAAAUACAUUGGCGGUCUCGCUGCAGCCUCCAUUGCGUAGUAGCUAACACCUCGCAACUGGAACGCGGCGCGGCCAUGCCGUAAAACCCCAACUUCUGAAUGUUGACCUCGGAUCAGGUAGGAAUACCCGCUGAACUUAAGCAUAUCAAUAAGCGGAGGAAAAGAAACCAACAGGGAUUGCCCUAGUAACGGCGAGUGAAGCGGCAACAGCUCAAAUUUGAAAUCUGGCUUUCGGGCCCGAGUUGUAAUUUGUAGAGGAUACUUUUGAUGCGGUGCCUUCCGAGUUCCCUGGAACGGGACGCCAUAGAGGGUGAGAGCCCCGUCUGGUUGGAUGCCAAAUCUCUGUAAAGUUCCUUCGACGAGUCGAGUAGUUUGGGAAUGCUGCUCUAAAUGGGAGGUAUAUGUCUUCUAAAGCUAAAUAUUGGCCAGAGACCGAUAGCGCACAAGUAGAGUGAUCGAAAGAUGAAAAGCACUUUGAAAAGAGAGUUAAAAAGUACGUGAAAUUGUUGAAAGGGAAGCGUUUAUGACCAGACUUGGACUUGGUUAAUCAUCUGAGGUUCUCCCCAGUGCACUUUUCCAGUUCAGGCCAGCAUCAGUUUCCGCCGGGGGAUAAAGGCUUCGGGAAUGUAGCUCUCUUCGGGGAGUGUUAUAGCCCGUUGUGUAAUACCCUGGUGGAGACUGAGGUUCGCGCUUCUGCAAGGAUGCUGGCGUAAUGGUCAUCAACGACC
rnacentral:rRNA from 1 species